UAUGCAGGCGGAUCGUUAAGUCGGGGGUGAAAUCCCGAGGCUCAACCUCGGAACUGCCUUCGAUACUGGCGAUCUUGAGUCCGGGAGAGGUGAGUGGAACUCCGAGUGUAGAGGUGAAAUUCGUAGAUAUUCGGAAGAACACCAGUGGCGAAGGCGGCUCACUGGCCCGGUACUGACGCUGAGAUACGAAAGCGUGGGGAGCAAACAGGAUUAGAUACCCUGGUAGUCCACGCCGUAAACGAUGGGUGCUAGCCGUCGGCAAGUUUACUUGUCGGUGGCGCAGCUAACGCAUUAAGCACCCCGCCUGGGGAGUACGAUCGCAAGAUUAAA
rnacentral:rRNA from 1 species